rnacentral:rRNA from 1 species
GAAAGCAUGGGGAGCGAACAGGAUUAGAUACCCUGGUAGUCCAUGCCGUAAACGUUGGGCACUAGGUGUGGGGGACAUUCCACGUUUUCCGCGCCGUAGCUAACGCAUUAAGUGCCCCGCCUGGGGAGUACGGCCGCAAGGCUAAAACUCAAAGGAAUUGACGGGGGCCCGCACAAGCGGCGGAGCAUGCGGAUUAAUUUGAUGCAACGCGAAGAACCUUACCAAGGCUUGACAUGGACCGGAAAGACCUGGAAACAGGUGCCCCGCUUGCGGCCGGUUUACAGGUGGUGCAUGGUUGUCGUCAGCUCGUGUCGUGAGAUGUUGGGUUAAGUCCCGCAACGAGCGCAACCCUCGUUCUAUGUUGCCAGCGGUUCGGCCGGGGACUCAUAGGAGACUGCCGGGGUCAACUCGGAGGAAGGUGGGGACGACGUCAAAUCAUCAUGCCCCUUAUGUCUUGGGCUUCACGCAUGCUACAAUGGCCGGUACAAAGGGUUGCGAUACUGUGAGGUGGAGCUAAUCCCAAAAAGCCGGUCUCAGUUCGGAUUGGGGUCUGCAACUCGACCCCAUGAAGUCGGAGUCGCUAGUAAUCGCAGAUCAGCAACGCUGCGGUGAAUACGUUCCCGGGCCUUGUACACACCGCCCGUCAAGUCACGAAAGUUGGUAACACCCGAAGCCGGUGGCCUAACCCUUGUG